AACAGUGCUUAGCAAACACGGUAGAUUUGGCGUUUUAUCCGAUUUAAUAGACAGCACUGACCGGCGACUGUUUCAUUUUUAAACGUAGAUUAGUUCCGCUUGAGCGAGCGGGUAGAUGAAUUGUUGCCUAUCGUGUGUACUGUUAUCGGCGACCGCCUUAAAUCUCUAUAAAAACCGCCCAAGGGGGAGGCAGACAAAUCGUCACUAUAAAACGGUUGCUUAAGUUAUAGUAAUUGAAUGACUAGACGAGUGUAUCACGAGAUAUUUCGGUGGGCGGUUACGAGUUCGCGUAGCGAACGAGUAACGCCCACCGAAAUAUCAAGUGUACACGAGUCUAGGACAUUCAAUAAAAUGGCUUUUGUCAUGGCCCGUCCAUCGGCUGUCAUUAAACUUCUAAAAACCAAUCAGAAUUAUCUCGGGUUUCUGAGUGAAUUCCCCGCCAAAAGCAAUCAACGAUCAAUUAGGAGUACAUUUCCCGCCAAAAACAAUAUCAGUUACAUGUAGUUCAAUGCGCACCCGACUUUGUAAGCGGUAAGCAGCAGGAUGUCAACCCCUUCAGCUAGCUUAAUGGUCAGUUUAAAGUACAGGGAUUUCCUUUCAUUACAAGGGGAUGAUUUUGACGACAUUGUGUUAUCUCAAGCAUUCAAGGAUAUAGAAAACGAAGUGAAAGUUUUUGAUGGGAUUUCCGACAUGUCGCUGACACCUGUCGGGAGUUAACGGGAAGGGGAUGCAAAACAUAUUUAGGAGGACUGGAAUACACCAAAUUACCAGCAAGAACAGACAUUAUUACAACCAAGAAGGUGACCGAUGUAUUCCGGAGUACUUUGAUAUGUACAAUGAUGUAUAUACAGGAGACUUCUCGGAGGAACCCCCAUUUGUUAUGGAAGUCAGGUCGUCGGUGUAAACAAACCAAAACAACUUGUGAAAGUGAAAGGAAAUUACACACAACUUACACUAUUGUACAAAUGCGGCGAACUGGACAACUGUUACGCGUUAUGUUAAAUUUGUGAACAGGGAAUCGUAUACAUAAUAUUUGUAACCAAACAUGUUUUUUUUCAAGUUUUAAUAACACCUAUGUACUACAGACCCUAUUCGGCAUUGAUACAAAAACAUCGAGAUCGCUGUAAACACUUGCGCUUGACCAGAAAAAAAAAUCAAACGUUACAAUGUUUAUUUUACUCACCUGUAUGUAAUUGGGUCUUAAAACGACCAACAGCCACAUAAUUAUUUUAAUACCAUGAUUAAUAAAAAAAAAAAAAAUGUACGGUUAUUACAAUGUUCCAAGCCCAGAUAGGCUUAGAUAAUCUGAUCACAUGUGUAUUAAUCCGUCACAGCGCCACCUAGGAAGGGCGAUCACACAUAACGGUAAAACCAAAAUCCGGCACAUGCUGGCUUGUUACGAACAAUGAAAGACUGGAUGUUUAUUUUACCUUCCGGUCAGUGCAAAGUUUUCUAAGAGAUUAAUAGCCAUUCUACUCACCUGUGGAUACACUGGUCAGUAAACAAAAGAUCGAUAAUUACGUAUACACACGCAAAUAGCCAGUUUGACACGAAUUACCGUAAGCUGUUCACGGCUCGGUACACCAGGUAAAUUUUUAGACACGACCAACUGGUCAUACUUGUGGGGGUAAUUAACGUUAAUUAGUGGUCGUCGGGACUGCACAAGGUGGUCGUAAUACGGAAUAGCGGGGUGGUCGUAAUAGUGAAGCGACCAAUACAAAGAUAUAGAGAGAAAAAAUCGGGACUGAAAAAAAAGUGCCCGUAAUAGCGGGGUGGACGUAAGGUGAGGUUUCACUGUAUAAUAUAUAGAGGACACGGUCUUCAGCUUUAUUUUUCUGUGAUCGGAUUGACAUGAGGACACUGAAGUUUAAUAAUUACAUUAAAUAGAACUUACCUUGACUUUUUGCAUAGACAAAUUGGAAAUGAUUGUAUGCCUUGAAGUUUUUGUUUCAUUGAAGUUGAAAAUUACGGAAAUAAACUAAUGGUUCUGUG